UACGUAGGGGGCAAGCGUUGUCCGGAAUCAUUGGGCGUAAAGCGCGUGUAGGCGGCCCGAUAAGUCCGCUGUGAAAGUCCAGGGCUCAACCCUGGGAUGCCGGUGGAUACUGUCGGGCUCGAGUCCGGAAGAGGAGUGUGGAAUUCCUGGUGUAGCGGUGAAAUGCGCAGAUAUCGGGAGGAACACCAAUGGCGAAGGCAGCUCGCUGGGACGUUACUGACGCUGAGACGCGAAAGCGUGGGGAGCAAACAGG
rnacentral:rRNA from 1 species